UGUUUGUUCUCACGCAAUAUUAAACCUGCUAACUUGGUCAGGUCCCGAAAGAAGCAGCCAUAGCAGGUGAUGUAUGUGCAGCGAUGUUGC
rnacentral:SRP_RNA from 1 species